UGUCACGCACCCCUUUAUAAGGUGAACACAAUGCGUUUGGUUUACUUUUCGCAUCGGCCUGUGUCAAUCGAGGUUGAGUUUAGUGAUGGUUGAAAGUUUUCGAUCUAGAUUGUAGAUCACUAUUGUCACUUUAUACAAACUGAAAGUAUGCGUUGUUGCGUGUUUGUUUUUGUGGGCAUUUGACUGAACAGCCCAGACGAAUAUUGCUACCAACAUGGCACUUCGAAACAGACCACCGCAGUGUUAGAUGACUGACAAGAUCUAUGGGGGGGCCCCCUUUGGGCCCCCCCAUACCAACUUAGUCUUCAAAGGAAUCUAGUGCCAUGGGACUCCAGUGUCUUCAAAACAUCCUCGGAAUACAUGUGUAUGAAUGGUCCACCGAAGGGUUGAUCUGGAAGCCACCACGGUCCACGCAGUAAUCUGCUGCGUGGGCCGUAGUGGCUUCCAGAGCCAUCUUUCGGUCUUGGUCAGGAUUUGUUACAGUUGCUCUUCAAUGUAGCAGGCUACGGGUUUCUGAAGAAGCCUGCUUUACGUAGCAUUGGAGUACAAAUAUUGUGCAAAAUGCUCAUGUAAUUGCACUAGCACUAGUAACCUGUAGAUUAGCUUAGUUUAACGUCAUUCCGUGCUGUCUCUGUCAAAUGUGUGGCUUACUUUAAGUCCACAAGGCCCUCUGGUAAACCACGUUGGAACACCCCUGGACAAGGUGAUUAGUCACUGGGUGUGUGCUAAAGUUUUGUUCCAUUUUUCACUAGUUGGUUAAGGUUUGGUAGAAUUGUUUGGAUGCUAGCGACGUGAUGGCAUAUGUACAAGAGCCUACCGUGGCCAGGCCACAGUUGCAACGGCCACGGCCAGAUGGCCUAGUGUGAGUGCAACCUUGAUUGCAUUUGUAUACUAUUUACCAUUGGAUGUUUAUGCAAUUUGGCUUAAUUCAUCCGCGGUAAAGCUGCAUUUGACUAUUCCAGGGUCGUUUUGUACAGGCUUUCAAUUGACCAUGUUGACUAGUUUGUGGGAAGUUUUAUUUUUUACAAUUGCUUACAAUCCAACGGUUGUGACCACUUAUGCAACUGGGCUGUGAACCUUGCAAUUCUAGUUGCAUAUUUGUACACGCAAGCUUGUCCAUUUCUAUCGCCAUCACUAACACUAGCUUCAGCAUUUCCUUGUAGGCCAUUAGCUGACUUGUGUAUUGGAGCGAUGAUUUGGGUAUUUUUAAGAUGCUUGAAAACCUAAAAUAAAGCAAAAUGCGUGUCUGGUGUGCAAGAGCCAAUUUGUUGGCUUGCAGUAGUCAAGGAGUUGCCGUAGGUCGUAAGCCAUCUGGAGGUUGUGGCAAUGGAGGCUUGUGGUAGAUCUGCCAUCCAAGAAAGGUUAAUUCUUCUGAAGCAUGAUUAAUAGUUUAGUAAAUUGAAUCUAUUCAUAUAGAACUAUAAAAUCCAAGACUGCAGCCAGUAACUUGGAUCGCAAUAUGUGGAAAGUAUUAGUCUUCAUUUGAAACAACAGAAUAUUUAACAUGACUAACUGGGUUUCUUCCAUUUUCUAACUAGGGGGACUUGACUGGUGAGUCUACUGGAUUAAUCAGUAGCGGUACUUUGCCCAACAGAUUUGAUGGCAUGACUACAGGGUGACAAAGACAAUUAUUC